CCUACGGGAGGCAGCAGUGAGGAAUAUUGGUCAAUGGGCUUACGCCUGAACCAGCCAAGUCGCGUGAGGGAAGACUGCCCUAUGGGUUGUAAACCUCUUUUGUCAGGGAGCAACGCCGGCUACGUGUAGCCGGACUGAGAGUACCUGAAGAAAAAGCAUCGGCUAACUCCGUGCCAGCAGCCGCGGUAAUACGGAGGAUGCGAGCGUUAUCCGGAUUUAUUGGGUUUAAAGGGUGCGUAGGCGGAAUGCCAAGUCAGCGGUAAAAUCGCGGGGCUCAACCUCGCUCCGCCGUUGAAACUGGCGUUCUUGAGUGGGCGAGAAGUAUGCGGAAUGCGUGGUGUAGCGGUGAAAUGCAUAGAUAUCACGCAGAACUCCGAUUGCGAAGGCAGCAUACCGGCGCCCAACUGACGCUGAAGCUCGAAAGCAUGGGUAGCGAACAGGAUUAGAUACCCCAGUAGUC
rnacentral:rRNA from 1 species